rnacentral:tRNA from 1 species
GCGAACGUAGUUCAGUGGUAGAACACCACCUUGCCAAGGUGGGGGUCGCGGGUUCGAACCCCGUCUUCCGCU